UACGUAGGGUGCGAGCGUUGUCCGGAAUUAUUGGGCGUAAAGAGCUCGUAGGCGGUUUGUUGCGUCGGCCGUGAAAACUCAGGGCUUAACUCUGAGCCUGCGGUCGAUACGGGCAGACUUGAGUUCGGUAGGGGAGACUGGAAUUCCUGGUGUAGCGGUGAAAUGCGCAGAUAUCAGGAGGAACACCGGUGGCGAAGGCGGGUCUCUGGGCCGAUACUGACGCUGAGGAGCGAAAGCGUGAGGAGCGAACAGG
rnacentral:rRNA from 1 species